rnacentral:rRNA from 1 species
CCUACGGGAGGCAGCAGUGGGGAAUUUUGGACAAUGGGGGCAACCCUGAUCCAGCCAUGCCGCGUGCGGGAAGAAGGCCUUCGGGUUGUAAACCGCUUUUGUCAGGGAAGAAAUCCUUUGAACUAAUACUUCGGAGGGAUGACGGUACCUGAAGAAUAAGCACCGGCUAACUACGUGCCAGCAGCCGCGGUAAUACGUAGGGUGCAAGCGUUAAUCGGAAUUACUGGGCGUAAAGCGUGCGCAGGCGGUUAUGCAAGACAGAUGUGAAAUCCCCGGGCUCAACCUGGGAACUGCAUUUGUGACUGCAUAGCUAGAGUACGGUAGAGGGGGAUGGAAUUCCACGUGUAGCAGUGAAAUGCGUAGAUAUGUGGAGGAACACCGAUGGCGAAGGCAAUCCCCUGGACCUGUACUGACGCUCAUGCACGAAAGCGUGGGGAGCAAACAGGAUUAGAUACCCUGGUAGUCCACGCCCUAAACGAUGUCAACUGGUUGUUGGGAGGGUUUCUUCUCAGUAACGUAGCUAACGCGUGAAGUUGACCGCCUGGGGAGUACGGCCGCAAGGUUGAAAACUCAAAGUAGUAAGUCGACGCGNGAGAGCGACGACGACGACGAGAGGAGGAGG